ACAGGUGUGGCUGCAGACUGCAGGAGCAGAUGAGCUCAUAAGAAACAAAGAUUUGCUCUGCUGGAUGAUCUGUCUUCACUCAAGAACAAAGAGCAGCAGCAUAGAUGAGUUACCGUGUAAACAAAUCGAGCAAUCACUAACAUGUACAUCAGAGUGUGCUUUGUCAGCCAGUAUACACACCUCUCUCCAGCACGUCUGUCCUUUACCCUCGUGGAGGAAGCUGGGCCCACCCAAGAGGAGGAAGACGUAAAUAAAGAGGCAUGACCUUUUAGAAAUGAGCCAUAGGCUUUCUGUCUCUGAAAGAUAUAUCAUGGCACCUUUUCAACUGGUUAUCAAUUGAUUCCAAGUGUUUAGCAGAGGGAGAAGAUAUAAAUGUUACUAUUUAG
ensembl:lncRNA